AUCGUCUGGUACAGUAAAUACGAUCAUUUGCUAUACCUUUAUAUGGGUUUUCUCCCACUUUGAGUGUAUAGAAAUAAAAUUUUUUAGCUAAACAUAUUUAAACUGAAAAUACCAGGAGCCAAGCGGAAUGAAAUGAAGCUUUAAACCGAAGCCAUAAAAAUAAACAUCAAAAAAGAAAAUAAGAAAUCAAAAGAAACUUUCAUUUAUAAUUUGUCUUUUACAUAAAAAAAAAUUCUAUAUUUUGGGUUCUUGUGUAUCCUAAGCUGUUGGCUUUCUAUCUGGGUCUGACAAAUAGAAUUACUAUGCUUUAUUUUAGAAACUUUAAUAUAUAUUCUGUAUUUUAUUUUAUUUUUUCUGGCUUGAUUGACUAAUGUCUGUAUUAUAAAACUUGUCAACUUUUAUAUGUAAUAUAAAAUACUUUCAAAACAUCUAUUUAAUUGAUCAUUUAUUUUAUGAAAUAUUAUUCUAACGGAGAUUAUUAUAUAUCAAAUUCGUUCCUUAUUAUACAGUUUUUAGUUUAACAAAAUCAUGACUUUUAAGAGGACGAAUGGAACAUUUACCAAACCAGAAAAAUU